rnacentral:rRNA from 1 species
CGUGUAGGCGGGCCUGUUAGUCAGAAGUGAAAGCCCAGGGCUCAACCCUGGAAGUGCAUUUGAUACUGCCAUGCUUGAGUAUGGGAGAGGAGAGCGGAAUUCCCAGUGUAGAGGUGAAAUUCGUAGAUAUUGGGAGGAACACCCGUGGCGAAGGCGGCUCUCUGGACCAAUACUGACGCUGAGACGCGAAAGCGUGGGGAGCAAACAGGAUUAGAUACCCUGGUAGUCC